CACGGAACAAAAUGUAGUCAUAGACUUGAUUUUGCGGCGGAACAGGAUAAUUAGUUUCCCGCUCCUCCGUGCCGAACGAACGCACUGUGAAAGACAAAGAACCAUUAAAAAAGUAAAUUGAUAAAAACGCAGCAAAGUACGACCACUCGCGUUAUUUCACGCAGUUACGCACUUAGCAUAAAAAACAACCGCGCGAAUAUGACUCGCAAGAGAAUGACGCACAAAAAAAAAAGCGCUUACCGGCAGCCAAAGCGAUUGUACAUUGUUGUGGAUCAACAGUAAAUAAAUGGCCCUCGUAUCUAAUAUCGGCUUUCGAUAUUAGGCUGAUUUUGGAGCCCAGCUCCGGCAUUCCCGUACUCAUGAUGAAGUUUUCUCGAUGAUGGCAGGAUGCACCAGAUUCAGGCGGAUUCCGAUCGGGAACUAAAGAAUUUCUCAAACGAAGAAUACACAAA